rnacentral:lncRNA from 1 species
AACACAAAAGACACAGACACCCUGGCUGUGAAUGAAUGAGGAGAUUCCUGGAUCCCAUCCACAGAGCCUGGGAUUCAGGAAGCAUGGAGGUACUGAGGAGGAAUAAAGUGUGUCUUGACAGAAGAAAGGAAUGAAUCAGUAAGGAAAGUAUAAAGAUAGAGAAAAAAUUAUCAGGAAGUGAGAACGAGGCGGGAGGAAAACGAAAAUGAAUGUGAAAUGACUUAAUGGGACCCCCAAAAAGACAAGACUGGGCAGUAUUGGAGUGACACACAGAUAUGAAGCUCUUUCCACACCUGAAGGAUC